GGGCUCGUGGUCUAGGGGUUUAUGACGUCGCCUUGACAUGGCGAAGAUCGAGAGUUCAAUUCUCUCCGAGCCCACCA
rnacentral:tRNA from 2 species